UACGUAGGGUGCGAGCGUUGCCCGGAUUUAUUGGGCGUAAAGGGCGCGGUAGGCGGCUACGCACGUCCGUUGUGAAAUCGCUCGGCUCAACUGGGGCGGGGUCAGCGGAUACGGCGUAGCUGGAGCAAGCUAGGGGGGCAAUGGAAUUCCUGGUGUAGCGGUGGAAUGCGCAGAUAUCAGGAGGAACACCGAUGGCGAAGGCAGCUCGCUGGGGACGGUACUGGACGCUGAGGCGCGAAAAGCGUGGGGGAGCGAACAGG
rnacentral:rRNA from 1 species